UUUUUGUUUUCAAAAGGAGAAGCAGGGCGAAAUUCCCUCACAGUCACGCUACCGUACAGUCGGAUCGCCUGCCGAAAA
rnacentral:ncRNA from 2 species